rnacentral:ncRNA from 1 species
GGGCUGCUCCUAGUACGAGAGGACCGGAGUGGACGAACCUCUGGUGUUCCGGUUGUCACGCCAGUGGCAUUGCCGGGUAGCUAUGUUCGGAAGCGAUAACCGCUGAAAGCAUCUAAGCGGGAAGCGCGCCUCAAGAUGAGAUCUCCCGGGGCACAAGCCCCCUGAAGGAACCAUGUAGACUACGUGGUUGAUAGGUCAGGUGUGUAAGUACAGCAAUGUAUUGAGCUAACUGAUACUAAUGAUCCGUGCGGCUUGACCAU